UGAGAGGGUGACCGGCCACACUGGGACUGAGAUACGGCCCAGACUCCUACGGGAGGCAGCAGUGGGGAAUAUUGCACAAUGGGCGCAAGCCUGAUGCAGCGACGCCGCGUGGGGGAUGACGGCCUUCGGGUUGUAAACCUCUUUCACCAUGGACGAAGCGCCUAUGACGGUACCUGUGGAAGAAGGACCGGCCAACUACGUGCCAGCAGCCGCGGUAAUACGUACGGUGCGAGCGUUGUCCGGAAUUACUGGGCGUAAAGAGCUCGUAGGUGGUUUGUCGCGUUGUUCGUGAAAACUCACAGCUUAACUGUGGGCGUGCGGGCGAUACGGGCAGACUAGAGUACUGCAGGGGAUACUGGAAUUCCU
rnacentral:rRNA from 1 species